rnacentral:lncRNA from 1 species
CGAUGUUAGUGGUGAAUUCCAUGUCCUAGGUUCUCCCAAAUUGAUAUCAUUUUAAUUGCAUUUUCUUUAUUAAAUUGCUUAGUUUAAUUUUCUUCACAAACUCUUCAUUUUAAAUAUUUUUAUUUUUAAGAAAACAACUAUACCCCAAUCCCUGUGGAUCGAUACCCGUAAUCACUAUCCUACCAGAUACGUGCUAUUGCGUGGUC